GACGAACGCUGGCGGCGUGCUUAACACAUGCAAGUCGAACGGAAAGGCCCUGCUUUUGUGGGGUGCUCGAGUGGCGAACGGGUGAGUAACACGUGAGUAACCUGCCCUUGACUUUGGGAUAACUUCAGGAAACUGGGGCUAAUACCGGCUAGGAGCUCCUGCUGCAUGGUGGGGGUUGGAAAGUUUCGGCGGUUGGGGAUGGACUCGCGGCUUAUCAGCUUGUUGGUGGGGUAGUGGCUUACCAAGGCUUCGACGGGUAGCCGGCCUGAGAGGGUGACCGGCCACAUUGGGACUGAGAUACGGCCCAGACUCCUACGGGAGGCAGCAGUGGGGAAUAUUGCACAAUGGGCGGAAGCCUGAUGCAGCAACGCCGCGUGCGGGACGACGGCCUUCGGGUUGUGAACCGCUUUCGCCUGUGACGAAGCGUGAGUGACGGUAAUGGGUAAAGAAGCACCGGCUAACUACGUG
rnacentral:rRNA from 1 species